CUUAACUAGACCGGCCGGUUCGAAAACUUCAGUCAAUAGACAGCCGGCCGAUCACACAACAAGAACGUGCGACUCGGUCAGUGUCGCCUCGUGCUCGGGUAUAAUCGUGCCCAGCUGGUAGCAAGGCUGGGAUAGGAGGGAAACGUGGGAAGGAUGACUGAAUGACAUUCGUUUACAGCUUUUUCAACUGGUUCCUUUCGCUACGCAGCAAGUGCAAUUCCCCUUGUAAUUGUUAAACCAAUCAAAAGACGGAUAAAGUAUGAUAAUUCCAUGAGUAACUACGGGAUAACGGAACGUCGGAGUACACCGCAGUGUCGCACAACAAAACGUGUACGGACAGUGAUGUCCAUUGAAGGGGUGACAAAUGAUCAGUCGAUUUUCGCCUGUCUCCAUUGGGAAAAUGCGGUGUGGCCUGUGGGUGUGACCUGCACCAUUCUAUCGUGUACGUUCCGUUGGCUAGUUUUAAGAGACCUCAUCGAAGAAUAUCUAGGUACACGUACGGAAAUUGAUCCUGCGACAACUAAGAUUUUUCCAUCGACAGUUACUUUGGCAAUGGGAAAUUUCAGCGCGUCGCUCCUUACCUCUCGGACGGCAUGUUGCGGGCUGAAAUUCUCGAUUACCAACGUAAUCGACUAGGGAGAAAAAAUUAAUUGUCACAGAAAGAAUUUCUGCAUGUGCACUCAGAAGGGUGUUGCGUAUUCACCCUAAUUUUGAACGUACGGGGUGGCCACUAAAUCUCAAUCACAAAAUUCCCCAACUUUUCCAGGUUUUCCAGACAAAAAUCUUAACUUCCCCUGACCAAUUCCGAUAAAUUGUUUCUAGCAAAUUGAUAAAAAUAUAUGUAUUUUUCAUAUAUUUCUUGUUUAAUGACCUACGAACUGUCACUUGGGUCACACUGUCCCAUUUAGGCGACGCGCACAAUCGUCUGUAGGGUAGUAUUUAAGAAUAUUCAAAGUUUGAAGAGAACCUUCCAGCAAUGAUAAAAAAAAUUUGACUUCGAUCUAAUUUAUUUAAAGUUUAAAGAAAUUGUGGGAUGCAUUUGUAUGAAAAAAAAAUAUAUUAAACGAUUCCCCGACUUUCUACAAAAAUCUCUGACAUUUCCCCGACUAUUCCAGAUUUUCAGAAUUUCGUGACAUUCCCAGGUUUUCCAGAAUUCCCUGGUCAGUAGCCUACCUGAUGUAGUAAUAAUUCUAUACCACAAUAAUUACGGUACGUAAAAUUCAGAGCAGAUGAACUUUGAUAAGUCGUGUAAUGUCCUUGAAUGUGAGUUCCCCAGGAUGAAAUUUUCAUUACUUGCAACAAUGCUAAUGUUCAUCUAGGUAUCCCUGUAUUCUUUAACUCGACUGACGACAAUUCAAAUGUUUUCCACACGGUACAUUCUUAUGAUCACUCAAGGCGUCGUUUGUCAAUUUUAGGUGGCUUAGUUUAUAAUGUCUGAAAAGUGGCUCAAAAUCAUCUUCGGCAACUUGAGAUUGUUCUGGGCUGUAUUCUA